UACGUAGGGUGCGAGCGUUGUCCGGAAUUAUUGGGCGUAAAGGGCUCGUAGGCGGUCUGUUGCGUCGGGAGUGAAAACUCAGGGCUUAACCCUGAGCCUGCUUCCGAUACGGGCAGACUAGAGGUAUGCAGGGGAGAACGGAAUUCCUGGUGUAGCGGUGAAAUGCGUAGAUAUCGAGAGGAACACCAGUGGCGAAGGCGAGUCUCUGGACGACACCUGACACUGAGGCACGAAAGCUAGGGGAGCAAACAGG
rnacentral:rRNA from 1 species